UACGGGGGGGGCAAGCGUUGUUCGGAAUUACUGGGCGUAAAGGGCUCGUAGGCGGCCAACUAAGUCGGACGUGAAAUCCCCAGGCUCAACCUGGGAACUGCAUCCGAUACUGGAUGGCUUGAAUCCGGGAGAGGGAUGCAGAAUUCCAGGUGUAGCGGUGAAAUGCGUAGAUAUCUGGAGGAAUACCGGUGGCGAAGGCGGCAUCCUGGACCGGCAUUGACGCUGAGGAGCGAAAGCCAGGGGAGCAAACGGG
rnacentral:rRNA from 1 species